ensembl:lncRNA
CGGCACAUGCCUAAUGUCAAUAAAUCUGUUUUUCACGGAAACAAGUGAAUAAUUAUGCCAUAGUCAACGUCACAAACAGUGUCUGAAAGUCCAAAUGCAUUGCUUUUGAAUGCAACAUCUUCAAAAUAAACAACAUAAACGUAAACGAAACGGAAUUAGCUUAGGUUCGCCUCCACAACGAGUUAACAAAAGACUUAAGAAAUGCAAACAGCCGUUCUCGCCUUUUCUUACUGAGCACACGGACGCACAACUUGACCUAAAGGAAAAUAAUAAAUUAAAAAAAAAUUAGAUAUAUAUAUAUAAAAAAAUUAAAUAUCAAAAAGCGUUCAUGAAAGUUGAUAUGUACAAGUUUUUUUUUUUUUUUUUUAGUAUUUUUUUCCCCGAUAAUCCAUAUUAACAUCCUUUUCAAAUAUACCGUAUUCUCCAGACUAUAAGUUGCAGCGAAGACGCGACAUCUACGGUAUCGUUUUAUAACAGAAGCCUUAAUUCUUCGUUAGCUCAAACGACUUUGAAUUAACUUUCUAUAACAGCUGUAAUCCUGUAAUACACAGGACAGUUGAACGCAAAACUUUCGGCACCCCUGUCCAAAGUGAAAAGCAGUAAACACGACCUCUGCGGCAAAGCUAUUUAAAAAAAAAAAUAAAAUAAAAAUAAUAAAUAAAAAAAUUCUGCAAAUGCAACAGUUACUUUACAUUUGAUGAACCCUAGACUAACUUUUGAAACAAACAACAACAACAACGAAAAAAAGUAAAACGUGGCGGCGUGCAAAAGUUUGGACGCCCUUUAUACUUUAUAGUAACUGUGCAUUUUAAAAAAAAUAAAAAAAAUAAAUAGUUUGCUGGAGAGGUUGUGUUUACUUCUUUUCAUAUUCAACAUUCAAAAUACGUCAUUUGGACUAGGGGUGCCCAAACUUUUGACUAAAAGUAUCCGUAUAAAAGUAUAAGGUGUUGUUCUUUAAUAAAUAAAAUAUAAUCGGAAUAAAAUACUUCAGGGCUGCGCUGUUCCCGUUCGCGGGUAGCAGUAUCACGCCGUUAUUGAUU